ACCAUUCCAUCGCAUCUUAAACUUCUUACUGGGGCGGCACUAGGACCGGGGGAGGCUGCUGCACUAGUGAUUGUUAGACUUUCUUCAGCAAAGAUGGCUGAAAGAAAUAGUUCGAGAGAGGGGUACCACUACACAGAACUGAACUGGAUCAAAGAUGGUGGACAGAAAUACUAGGAGAGAGGGGUACUCCUACACAAAACUGAACUGGAUCAAAGAUGGUGGACAACAGUACUAAGAUGGAAGCAAAUGGACUCCUGAAACAACCAGCAAACCAGACUGUCGUUUUGGAAAACAGUGGAUGUAAAGAAUCUAGCUAGCUGAAGAAUUUACUGCAAAUUUAAUGUACAAUUUUGUAAGCUUUCCUUGCUGAUAUUUACCAUGCAGAUAGAUGAAAUUACGUAGCUAGCUAUGUUCUUGCUUAUUGUGCAGUGGAUGAUUAAAAUCCCUGUAUGCCCAUGGAUGUGUAGCUAGCUAUCUAGCCGAUCUGUGUAUGGACCCAAACGUUUGGUAUACAUAUUAGUUCAGAACCUAGCUAUGAACCUCAGCUAUCAUAGCCAGUUGUAUCAACUUCAAAACAGCCUGAAUGACAUUAAUGAAGCCUAUGGAUUGAGUAGAUUAUAAUAUCAUGUUGUGCCAAGGAUGCAAGUCGUAUAUACAUGUAGUUAUUACCAUGCAUGAGAUCCCCACAUUGUAGCCUGUACAUUUAAUAUAUUCACUGAUCAUGUACUCUACCAUGGCAAAUAAAGGUGCAGUUUAGGUA